GUCCACGCAGUAAACGAUGAGUGCUAGUUGUCGGGACAUUAGGUUUCGGCGGCGAAGCUAACGCGUUAAGCACUCCGCCUGGGGACUACGGCCGCAAGGCUAAACUCAAAGGAAUUGACGGGGACCCGCACAAGCAGUGGAGCAUGUGGUUUAAUUCGAUGCUACGCGAAAAACCUUACCAGCUCUUGAAUCCUGAUUAAUAUUUCCAGAGAUGGAUUUGUCGGUCGGCCGGAUCAGUGACAGGUGUUGCAUGGCUGUCGU
rnacentral:rRNA from 1 species